rnacentral:tRNA from 1 species
GAAGUGUUAGUAAAACAAUUACAUAGCCUUGUCAAGGCUAAAUUACAGGUUAAAACCCAGUACACUUCU